GGAGGUAAAAGUCGUAACAAGGUCUCCGUUGGUGAACCAGCGGAGGGAUCAUUACAGGACUCGCAAGACUCCUACAACCCUGUGAACUUAACUAUAAGCACGUUGCUUCGGCGGGUGUCUCGGAGGGGGUUCUCCCUCCCCGAGACGCUAAACCCGCCGGCAGCCUACUAUACUCUGUCUCUUUGCGUUGGCAUCUCGAGUACAAUCAAACAAGUUAAAACUUUCAACAACGGAUCUCUUGGUUCUG
rnacentral:misc_RNA from 1 species